rnacentral:lncRNA from 1 species
GAAACCCCAGGCGAGAGUGCAGCGUCUGACUCUCCUCCCGCCUCGGACAAGCUGACAGCUGGCAUCUGUGCUCCACCACAUGACACUCCAUUCUUUCCUCUCAAGGGUGACCACAGAAGUAAACGAGCCCAGGGCUACACUGGAUCCAUGCCUGUCACCUCCACCAGCAGCCCAGUACCCUUCAAGGUACAGAGUGAAAAGAGACUAUUCUCAGAAAGAGAGACUUAGAAGGUGAGUCAGAUCCACCCUGCCCUGAUCAUAUCUGUUUCUUCCAAUUACUCUUUCUCACAUUUUUACUCCUCCAGAAUCCAAAUUCUCUUGGUUAGUACAAAAAGUAAGUGGUUUUUACACUUAUCCGAGGAACAUAAAAGAGAAGUGACACUGAUGGAAUUUUAUCAUGGUUACAAAUUCAAAUUGAGAUAUUGUAAUAUAAGUUUCAGCCCCAAAUCCAUUUUUACUACAGUUCCUUGGCUAAUUUGUAAAAACACAAAUACAUGAAUAACCUAGUGUUUGCCAUACUAAACCAAAUUAUCCAGAAUACUUAAAUAUCCCCAUUUCUUCAUUGCCUUAUCAUUCUCACUUGACUUAUUAAAUCAGCAACACUGGUUGAAUCAUGAAUAAUUAGUUGUUCUGUACCAGAAAGAGUUGAUUCCUAUUAAAGAAUAUUCCAUACAAAGCUAAAUGUAACCUGGAAUUUGAGGGAUGUGCAGAAGUGAGAGUGUAUGAGCAUACAUGUAGCUUCCAUAUUAAUUUAACUGCGGACUUUUGUGAAACAUUGUUGGAGUUGUGUCAUAAUCUAGGAAAAUAAUCAGUUCCAAAGUAAUGUUCAAAUUAGAUGAUAAUAAGAUAGAUAAUCCUGCCUGUUUGUACACAUAAACAUUCUUUUCCAUUGCAGAAAUUAAAAAAAACACAUACUAAGUCAAGGGUUGAGCCUAAUUAAUUUUUCUUCACCUUAUAGCUGACAUAGGCAGAGGAAAGAAAAUUAUAGUCUGCUUUGCAUCCUUCAUUUGGAAAAAAGUCCAUGCCCAAACUAGAGUAUAAUUAAUGACUUUCAAUGAAUACAAACAUUUUAAUGUAUGAGGCACAUCCUAGGAAAAGCAAGAAUCAGAUUAAGGAAAAAGUAAAAACAUAAACCAGAAAAAUAGAUGUAAAUAUCCUUAUAGGUCAUAAAAGAGGAUCACAGAAAAUUUUCUUAUACAUAUUCCAUUUUAGAUCUAGCUUCAUGAUAGUCCUGGUUAUAGCUAGCCUUUAACUAAUUAACUAGAGCAGUGGCAUAUAGUAAAGAUAAAGUAAGCAUUCUUAAAUGUUCUCCAGUUUUUCUGAUACAUUUGUAAGUUCCUCACAAAUACAACAUAUAUGUACUUUCAGUUUUUAGAGAAGUUCUGAUUUUAUCCUUUUUAUUUUUUUACUUUGAUUUUAUCUAUUCGUACUCUGAUUUGUUUAUCUACUCCUAUUUUGAUUGAUCAGCUAUAACAUAUAGCUACAUUUAACUUUUAUCUCCUUGAAAAGCUUUGCAUAUAAAUAAAUUCCUGAAGCAGAAAAGACCCA